rnacentral:rRNA from 1 species
GACGAACCGUGCGAACGUUGUUCGGAAUCACUGGGCUUAAAGGGCGCGUAGGCGGGUUCCCAAGUUCGGGGUGAAAUCUUUCGGCUUAACCGGAAAACUGCCUUGAAUACUGGGAGUCUCGAGCGAGGUAGGGGCAGCUGGAACUUCCGGUGGAGCGGUGAAAUGCGUAGAUAUCCGGAGGAGUACCAAAGGCGAAGGCAGUGUCCUGGGGAGUGUCUGACGCUCAGGCGCGAAAGCUAGGGGAGCGAACAGG